rnacentral:rRNA from 1 species
AACGAACGCUGGCGGCAUGCCUAACACAUGCAAGUCGAACGAGACCUUCGGGUCUAGUGGCGCACGGGUGCUUAACGCGUGGGAACCUGCCCUUAGGUUCGGAAUAACUCCCCGAAAGGGGUGCUAAUACCGGUUAAUGUCUUCGGACCAAGGAUUUAUCGCUUUUGGAUGGGCCCGCGUUGGAUUAGCUAGUUGGUAGGGUAAAAGCCUACCAAGGCGACGAUCCAUAGCUGGUCUGAGAGGAUGAUCAGCCACACUGGGACUGAGACACGGCCCAGACUCCUACGGGAGGCAGCAGUGGGGAAUAUUGGACAAUGGGCGAAAGCGUGAUCCAGCAAUGCCGCGUGAGUGAUGAAGGCCUUAGGGUUGUAAAGCUCUUUUACCCGGGAUGAUAAUGACAGUACCGGGAGAAUAAGCUCCGGCUAACUACGUG